rnacentral:lncRNA from 1 species
CCCCCCCGGCACCUGCAGCUCUGUUCCGCCACGCUGCAUGUGAGCAACACCCACUGGUGCACAGCUGGCUCUCUGUGUGAAAGCACGUGCAGCAGAUUACAAGUGGUGAAGCAGUGGACUAGAGAGCUGCUCCGGAAGAGGGGAAGAGAGAAGCCUGCGUUAGUUGGGUGGAGAGAGGGGCAGAGUACUGUUUUUGUGCAUUGCUGUCUGGCUUUCAUUACAUCACUGCUCUAGUUUGAAACUUCUGUAUCUAAAUGAAGAUCGUCUGUAGGCACUUGUUUUAAGUGACCAGUCC